rnacentral:rRNA from 1 species
GAUGAACGCUGGCGGCGUGCCUAAUACAUGCCAGUCGAGCGAACAGAUGAGGAGCUUGCUCCUCUGACGUUAGCGGCGGACGGGUGAGUAACACGUGGAUAACCUACCUAUAAGACUGGGAUAACUUCGGGAAACCGGAGCUAAUACCGGAUAAUAUAUUGAACCGCAUGGUUCAAUAGUGAAAGACGGUUUUGCUGUCACUUAUAGAUGGAUCCGCGCCGCAUUAGCUAGUUGGUAAGGUAACGGCUUACCAAGGCGACGAUGCGUAGCUGACCUGAGAGGGUGAUCGGCCACACUGGAACUGAGACACGGUCCAGACUCCUACGGGAGGCAGCAGUAGGGAAUCUUCCGCAAUGGGCGAAAGCCUGACGGAGCAACGCCGCGUGAGUGAUGAAGGUCUUCGGAUCGUAAAACUCUGUUAUUAGGGAAGAACAAAUGUGUAAGUAACUAUGCACGUCUUGACGGUACCUAAUCAGAAAGCCACGGCUAACUACGUG